rnacentral:misc_RNA from 1 species
UCACAUUUGGAGGGAAAUUUCUCUACAGAAGAGGCAACUGUUGUAUUUGAUCUGGCUUCACGAUGCUUACAGUAUGAACCCAGGGAGCGACCAAAUACCAAAGACCUCGUUUCAACACUUGGUCCAUUGCAAAGCAAACCUGAUGUUGCAUCUCAUGUAAUGUUGGGUAUUCCCAAGAGUGAGGAAGCUCCACCAACUCCACAGCACCCUCUUUCUGCAAUGGGUGAUGCUUGUUCGAGAAUGGAUCUCACAGCUAUUCAUCAGAUUUUGGUAAUGACACAUUAUAAAGACGAUGAACUGACAAAUGAGUUGUCUUUCCAAGAGUGGACUCAACAAAUGAGGGAUAUGUUAGAGGCAAGAAAGCGUGGUGACUUGGCAUUUCGGGACAAGGACUUUAAAACUGCCAUAGAUUGCUAUUCUCAGUUUGUAGAUGUGGGAACGAUGGUGUCUCCAACUGUUUAUGCACGAAGAAGCCUUUGUUAUCUCAUGUGUGAUCAACCAGAUGCUGCCCUUAGAGAUGCAAUGCAAG